GGCGGCGUGCUAACAAUGCAAGUCGAACGAGAAAGGGGAGCAAUCCCUGAGUAAAGUGGCGCACGGGUGAGUAACACGUGACUAACCUACCCUGGAGUGGGGGAUAACUGAGGGAAACCUUAGCUAAUACCGCAUAAUACCCACGGGUCAAAGGAGCAAUUCGCUCUGGGAGGGGGUCGCGGCCGAUUAGUUAGUUGGCGGGGUAACGGCCCACCAAGACGAUGAUCGGUAUCCGGCCUGAGAGGGCGCACGGACACACUGGAACUGAAACACGGUCCAGACUCCUACGGGAGGCAGCAGUGGGGAAUUUUGCGCAAUGGGGGAAACCCUGACGCAGCAACGCCGCGUGGAGGAUGAAGUCCUUCGGGACGUAAACUCCUUUCGAUCGGGACGAUUAUGACGGUACCGGAAGAAGAAGCCCCGGCUAACUUCGUGCCAGCAGCCGCGGUAAUACGAGGGGGGCGAGCGUUGUUCGGAAUUAUUGGGCGUAAAGGGUGC
rnacentral:rRNA from 1 species